CCUACGGGUGGCAGCAGUGGGGGAUAUUGCACAAUGGACGAAAGUCUGAUGCAGCGACGCCGCGUGAGGGAAGACGGCUUUCGGAUUUUAAACCUCUGUUUUUGGGGCAGAAAAUGACGGUACCCAUAGAGGAAGCACCGGCUAACUACGUGCCAGCAGCCGCGGUAAUACGGAGGGAGCGAGCGUUGUCCGGAAUUACUGGGCGUAAAGCGCUCGUAGGCGGUAUGUCAAGUCAGUGGUGAAAUCCCGGCGCUCAACGUCGGAACUGCCUUUGAAACUGGCAAGCUAGAGUGUGUGAGAGGUUAGUGGAAUGCCAGGUGUAGGAGUGAAAUCCGUAGAUAUCAGGAGGAACAUCGGUGGCGAAGGCGACUAACUGGGCCAUAUCUGACGCUGAGGAGCGAAAGCGUGGGUAGCAAACAGGAUUAGAUACCCGAGUAGUC
rnacentral:rRNA from 1 species